rfam:Brachypodium distachyon strain Bd21 chromosome 2, whole genome shotgun sequence.
UGACUACUUCCUCCGUCCAACAAAAGAUGUCUCAAGUUUGUCAAAAUUUGGAUGUAUCUAGACAUGACUUAGUGAUGCAUUUAAAUUUAGUCAAAGUUGAGACAUCCUUUGUUGGACGGAGGAAGUACUUG